UACCAGCACCCCGAGUGGUCGGGACGUUUAUUGGGCCUAAAGCAUCCGUAGCCGGUUCUACAAGUCUUCCGUUAAAUCCAACUGCUUAACAGGUGGGCUGCGGAAGAUACUAUAGAGCUAGGAGGCAGGAGAGGCAAGCGGUACUCAGUGGGUAGGGGUAAAAUCCGUUGAUCCAUUGAAGACCACCAGUGGCGAAGGCGGCUUGCCAGAAUGCGCUCGACGGUGAGGGAUGAAAGCUUGGGGAGCAAACCGG
rnacentral:rRNA from 1 species